UGGGGAAUAUUGCACAAUGGGCGCAAGCCUGAUGCAGCCAUGCCGCGUGUAUGAAGAAGGCCUUUGGGUUGUAAAGUACUUUCAGCGGGGAGGAAGGGAGUAAAGUUAAUACCUUUGCUCAUUGACGUUACCCGCAGAAGAAGCACCGGCUAACUCCGUGCCAGCAGCCGCGGUAAUACGGAGGGUGCAAGCGUUAAUCGGAAUUACUGGGCGUAAAGCGCACGCAGGCGGUUUGUUAAGUCAGAUGUGAAAUCCCCGGGCUCAACCUGGGAACUGCAUCUGAUACUGGCAAGCUUGAGUCUCGUAGAGGGGGGUAGAAUUCCAGGUGUAGCGGUGAAAUGCGUAGAGAUCUGGAGGAAUACCGGUGGCGAAGGCGGCCCCCUGGACGAAGACUGACGCUCAGGUGCGAAAGCGUGGGGAGCAAACAGG
rnacentral:rRNA from 2 species